CUUCUCGGUUUUUGCUGUAUUCAUUCAGCCCUUUAAUUAUCAUACCAUUCGUCUCCUCUCUUUUUACGUGGAAAUUAAGUGACUUCAAGUUGACUACUAAGAUGCAAUAUAUUCAUCAUGGAUUGCUAGACAAAGGAGGCGGAAUAUUAUGUUACAUAACGAAGAUUACUUAAACAUUAACAAAGAUCCCAAAUACUCAUCACAUAUAUUGCUAAACUACGAAGACUGUCAUAUCCUGUCAAGGAAAAGGAAUAGACCUCUACAAAACAACAUUGUUAUCUGGAUGAAGAAUAAAGCGCCAUUGGUUGAUUAAUUGUCUUUCUUUGUACAUAAAAUAAAUGAAUAAUCAUUUAACAAAAGUACAUUUUGGUUUCAGUCAAAUAUUUCUGGUAAAGAAUUUGCAGAAUGGAUACUUAAAAUAGGUGACGGUACUGUAGGACAAAGUUUUGGUGAUGGAGAAUUUGUUGUGGCAUUAUCAGAAGAUAUUCUUAUAUGCGAUGCUACAAAUCUUAUUGCAA